AGCAGACACACCUCGUCGGGCUCAUAACCCGAAGGUCGCGAGUUCAAAUCCCGCCCCCGCUA
rnacentral:tRNA from 1 species